UACAGAGGUCCCGAGCGUUGUUCGGAUUCAUUGGGCGUAAAGGGUGCGUAGGUGGCGCCGUAAGUGGGGUGUGAAAUCCCGGGGCUUAACCCCGGGACUGCAUUCCAUACUGCGGUGCUUGAGGACUGGAGAGGAGACUGGAAUUUACGGUGUAGCAGUGAAAUGCGUAGAGAUCGUAAGGAAGACCAGUGGCGAAGGCGGGUCUCUGGACAGUUCCUGACACUGAGGCACGAAGGCCAGGGGAGCAAACGGG
rnacentral:rRNA from 1 species